rnacentral:lncRNA from 1 species
GGCGGGUGCAAAGGCCCCCGAGUACCUUACAUAACGCGCGGGUCGGGCGAGGGCGGCUCUCGGCCAAUCCUGGCCAAGUGGAGUGGCCUGGAAGACAACAGGGCCGGGCCGCGCAAGUCUACUGCCGGGCUUCCCGGAGGCGUGGCCUUGGGGCUGUCAGUCACGGGAGGGCGGGGUCCGCGCAGCCAACAGGUGCAUGCAUGUGCCCUUGGAGGCAGUUACAAGCAGUUUCGUGAUACAAAUGAGAGUGCUUGGAACCCAGGUGGAUCCUCUGCUAGAACAAGGUUGACUCACAGCACUUUUUAAAGUUUGCACUGUGUCUACCACCAAGGACACAUCACUGAUGGCUGUCUCACAUAACUCAGGGUCCGAAAAUUAAACAGGCUGAACAUGCGGCUGGCUGAACUGAACCAAUUUAAUCCUCUUGAGUGUGGACCGGACACUGCCAUUUGCUCAGCAGUCUGACCAGGAGUGUGAAAGCUGCUGUGAUCUCUUCAGAG